UUCAGUCCUGACGGGAUCACAUAGUUUUCCAUCAGGAAGAGAUGAAAUCUCAUCUGCUCCAGUGUGUAGUUAUAGAACCAGCAGGUCUGUUGGUGGCCGUGAUGCAAAGGGAAGGCACGUGUUCCUGCCGUGGCCGGGAGGUCCUGCAGUGACCGCUCCAUGACUCGGCCACCUCCUGUGCUGCAGCCUUGCACCACAAGCACAAGGCGCUCCCACCAGGCAAAGCUUGGUGGAGAGCGUAGCUGUUCUCUGGUCCGUCUGCUGGUUACUACCGAGCUGCCCAGCCCAGUGGAGAAAAUGCUUUGAUGUUAAUGAGCUGCAGACAAUUUCACUUAACACCGAGCAGGGCCUGGCAUCUCAGAGGCAGUAGCAUGUUGCCAAGUGCAGUGAUUGACCCCUCAGAAACAGGGUACAAAAGAGUCUCUGGAUGUGCUGUAGCUUCCUUGGCUUCAGUCAGCCCUUGUUGUGGGCCCCAGACCAGGACUCUGGGAUUUCUCCCUAGCGUAACACCUCACAUACUGGAGAGGGCCAAGAUUAGGCAGAGCUCCUGCUGUGGAGAGAUAGUGUGGGAAGCACAGAACGGUGAGAAAGAUAUCUGUCCAGUGGAAAUGUGAGGUACCACAGUCUCAGGAAGGAAGCACUGAACCAUAAGUAUGAACAAAGACAAGUGAGAAAAAGGCACAAAUUCAAUUUUGUAACCCUCUGCCCAUUAUCAGCAAAGUAUAUUUAUGGGAUGAUACAAACUCUGCUUCUAUCCAGACUCUGCAAGCUCUUGAAUGGAGUGACCCAGUCCUCUGAGAAGCCCCAGCCAAGCAGAAGCAAACACAGACUACAUCCCUUUAAGUAGAGCAACAAAUAAGACCUCACUGAAAGUUAGGGAGAAACAUGCCUUCUUCUGAGGAAUGUGGCAUAAUUCCAAUAUAUCGCCUUUGUUAAAUGAUUUAUAGCAAUGAGAGAGAGAGAUACUAACUCUUCAGUUUUCUUGCCAGAACAGGAUUAUUCCCUGCAGCAAACUGGAUUACACAGUUAAAAUAAUGCAAGCCAAGUCCAAAUGCUUGUGCCAUGCCCACUGCAGGGAGGAGCUCAUACAAAAGUGUGUGAGCCUACACUGAAAUAAAUCCUAAUGAGGUAGAAAGUGACAUCAUGGAGGAGGCCAUGACUGAUCACAGGCCAAGGAGACUGUCCAGCAAAAGGAACACUGCACUUUGGAAAGUCCACCCAAGUCAGUGGGAAGAGACACAAAAUUAACUUUGAGAACAUGUUUAGCAUUUGUUGAGCACCAAAAGUCAACAUCCAUCCAAACUCCAUCCAUGCAAAGUUAGUGGGCCAGAUUUUGACACAAUGAGUACAACUGUACAUCCUGCAAGAGAUGAGACUGGCAGACAGGAGGGCAUUGACAACAGCACAGAGCAACAUAUACAAUGAUCCACAGACAGCAGUAAGGGAAACACUGUGACUUACACUGCUGGGCAGGAGCCUGAGAAGCACUGUGGAGUGUGUGCAGGUUGGAUGAUGAUGAGAGAAGCAAUUUGAUCUCUUUUUCAAAGGGAUUUAUUGUCACAUGCAAUAGCAGCUUCACUAGAGAUGGACAGACUAUCAGCCUGAAAGCAGAGAGAUAUUCAUUAAGUUUAGGAUGGAUUUCGGGGCACAAGACAAUGUGUUGUCGGAAAUUAUAAUAUUAAUAGAAAUAGAAAGCAAUAGAUUUGUAAGGUGGAUGGGAAUAAUCUGGGGUUCACAGCAGGGAGUUUAUCCCCUUUAAAGGAACAGGAAAUCUGGACAGUUGAAUAAAUGGACUAAAAAAAGAUCAUCUUUGUAAUAAAAGGAAGGGUGAUGCACCCUGAAGCAAGGUGAACACCAGGUCAGCUUGUAACUGUUUCUAGAGAAUGAAGAAACAUUCACCUGAAACCAGGGUAGAGCUGGAACUGGAACAGCCAAGUUGUCCACAACGUUUGACUUGAGACUGCAGCAUGACUCGAGUCAGUUCUCAUGCUCUGAAUGCCUGGAGAAAAGGAGACUCAGGGGUGACCUUAUCACUCUCUACAACUUCCUGAAAGGCAGUUCUAGUCAAGUGGGGUCGGUCUCUUUCACCAGGCAGCAACUGACAGAACCAGAGGACACAGUCUCAAGCUGCAUCAAGGGAAAUAUAGGUUGGAUUUUAGGAAAAAGUUUUUCAUGGGAUGAGUGUUAAAGUUCUGGAAUGGCCUGCCUGGGGAGGUGGUGGAGUCACCAUGCCUGGAUGUGUUCAAAACAAGACUGGAUGUGGCACUCAGUGCCAUGGUUUAGUUGAGGUGUUAGGGCAUGGGUUGGACUCAGUGAUCUUGAAGGUCUCUUCCAACCUGGUCAUUCUGUGAAUCUGUGAAUGCUUUGCUCCAGUGCCACCAUCCCUGGCAUACACAAAGUGUAUGUUCUUUGUGUGAGACAUUCAUGUGAGGCAGCACUGUUGGUCAUAUGUGUGCAUGAUGCUUCAGCCAUUUUGCAGCCAAAGGAAUAGAAAACUGCUGGUUUCUGCUUUUUCCUCACUUAAGGGAACAGGAUCAGAUAUUUUUUGUCUAUGCCACUGCUGACUGUCAGGAAAUUCAUAGGAACUUAUCAACUUUGGUCUGAUUCUAUGGAAUUUACAAGAAUGGUGGCAAAUCGCAGUAUAGCUCCAAAACUCUUAGCAGAGUGAUUAGCAUCUUUGUGUGUGUCUGCUCAUUAAGGAGCUUGGCCAAAACUAUAAAUGCUGUAGAAACAGGAAACAACAAAAUUUUAAUUCAACCAAACAUGCAGGUAACUCCAAUGAAGGCUUGGUGCAUCCUAAGAGACAGGCAAGUGGAACAAGCAAUUGCACCUUACAAGUUUUCCACACCAGCAACUUGACAGGUGCAGUGUCUCCAAAAGAAAGGGUGUAAAGAGUUUGAAAAUUUAAAGUUGCUCAUCAUAAAAUCUCUUUACAUAUACACUACAAGAAUGAAAGCAGUGCUCAAAAUGGCUUCAGAUGUUCAUGUUCUGCAUUCAACAGCCACACUCAAAACUCUGCUCAAUGUUAAAGAGGUUUGUGGUCACUGUAAAAGCGUGGGGGGUGCUGGAGGUGCUAGAGGCUCAGUGACAAGUGACUAAUCAAGGACUUCAAAGCUUUUCAGAUAUGAAACCACUGACUUACUUGAGGCAGUGUAUUAUGUUGUGCUUAAACUGGCUCAAGAAUCAAGAAAUGAAAAAUGGCAAAUGCUCUGCAGUUUCUGAAUGGAGAUUGAGAAAAUUAGGGAAUGGUCAACAUACCCAUCACCCUGGGAAGAACAGUAUGGGUAUAAAAAAUCUGAGUGUCUUCAUACACAGUAAGCUAACUUUUAUGAGCAAUGAGCACAAAAUACUUCUUGCAUUACAGAAGAGGUGGGGGACUGCUUGCAGAUAGAAAAUAUCUUCACCCUUCUCCAAGGUGGUAAAAGUUUUCUUUCAAGUACAUUCAGCAAACUGAAAAAACAGCUGGUGAAAGAAGACGUUUUCAUGGAGAAAAGUCCAGACCUAAAAAUCAAACAUGUGAAUUUUAUUUUAAAAAAACAACAACAAAAGAAACAAAACAAAAAACCCACCCAGGCCAAUGUAAGGUUUUGUCUCAUUUCAGCAGGAAAAUGAUUGCCAGAAUAGCAGCUCAAGAUAUGAAGCCACAGAAAAUUAUUCAGGCUAGUAGCAGAGUGUGCGUCCAGGUUCAGGAAAGAGAAGAGA